rnacentral:rRNA from 1 species
UACGAAGGGGGGCGAGCGUUGUUCGGAUUUACUGGGCGUAAAGGGCGCGCAGGCGGCGCAUUUUGUCAGGCGUGAAAGCCCCGGGCUUAACCUGGGAACUGCGUUUGAUACGGAUGGGCUAGAGUUCGGGAGAGGAGAGUGGAAUUCCUGGUGUAGCGGUGAAAUGCGCAGAUAUCAGGAAGAACACCCGUGGCGAAGGCGGCUCUCUGGGACGGUACUGACGCUGAGACGCGAAAGCGUGGGGAGCGAACAGG